GAAGGACGAGCUCGGCGGUGCGUGGCGAUCUCCUCUUCGCCGGCGGAUACAGGGCGGAAUGGUCACGGCGGAAGUCCUCAUGGCCAUAGAGGCGUGGUUCUCGCACGAGGGGCUGGGAGAGGCAGGUGGGGGUUUGACCCUAGAUGCAGCCAGAUCUGAGCCACGGGAGGCACCUUCGGUCCUGAGCGCGCGCGGCAGGGAUGGCGUUGAUCUCCUUCUCCCUACUCUCGCGCCGCCGUGACCAUUCCGCCCCCUCCCCCUUCUCCUCUAUGCGGUCACUGCGGUGUGGUGCUCCUCCCCGAGCACGAGCGCGGUCGGCUUCCUCUCCCCCGACCACGAGCUUAGCGACUAGGGUUGCGGCUGUGGGCUGGCCGCCCCUGGCAUCUCCUCUUCUCACCAUCUGUCGUUACCGCUGCAGCGCCUCUCUCCCCGGCCGCCGGCGGUGGCCUCUUCCUGUGCCCCUAACCACGACCUCAAGCAUGCCAUAAUCAACCUCCUCUGCGGCGCCUUCUCCCCCAUCGGCGCUUCCUCCUCCCCUGGCCACAGCGUGGUUCGUCCCCGCACUACUAAAGUACCAAGUGAUGUACAGGUCGUGCUAGAAAUUUGGUUGUUGGAAGGGCUAGGUGAGGGGACAGAGGAUGAUGUAUUGGAAGAUGACCAGAGCUCUCUUUGGUGUUGGAGGUGCAUGUCCUACUUUUAGUGUGUGCAAACAUCUUAUAUUGAUGAUAGAAAAUGGUAGGCAUCUCCUCUUCUCAUUAACCAGUUUGUAUUGCUGGAGUGGAUCGACGACAGGUACGGCUUCAUUCCCCCUCUUAGUUCUCAGUUUAUUUCAUUUCCUAUGAGAGACGUCAGAUUGGUGUGACAGUAUGAAGGCCUAGAGUGUUAGAGCGAGCCAUCUUGCAUGAUUGUGUUUUCUCCCAAAGUUUUUUUUUACUCCAGAGUGUAUCUGUGAAUUUAUCUAUGUAGAUAACAAACAGAUGUGCGGUCAAAAUAAAGAUGAGAGGGGAUAUGGGUUUCAAAAAAUUCAUUUACCUGUGUAUUCAUGUAUGUUGCAUCUUAUAGCUGGAAGUUGUUAUGCAAUUUCAUUUCGCGGUGAGAUUACAAUCCGCAAAAGAUUUGUUGUCGAGUGUUGUUUUUUUUUGUCAGACACCCACACAUCUACAGGUUGGAGGGUAUUUUCCUUCGUAUUAAAAACUACACAAUAUUCUUUUGAUUUCUGGUUAUAUGGCUGACUAAAAUCGUGAGAGGAACAGCGCUCACAUCUCUUCUUUCUGCUUGGUGUCUUCUAAUUCUUGGUAGACUGUUCUCACUGAACAUUGACAGUACCACAAUUUUCUUCUAACUUUCUGAUUAAAGAUUUGCUGCUCGGAGCUGAGUGGGUAUUAUGCAUCCUAAUGACACUGCAGUACCAAGUGAGUACUACUUUUUAUUUCAGUCCUUUCAUUCCCCUCCACCAAAUUAGUUUUGCUUUUAGCAUGGUCUGACAAGGUGGAGAUACUGUCUUAACAGAGGAUUCUGUUUUAAUUUAGGCUGAUGAAAAGGAGCCUUGACUUCUCAGUUAGCUUAUUUGAGGAUCUUAAUAACAAUUAUUCAUCAAGCAAGCUUAUUGCUUCACUGCCUCUUUUGUAGAGAUAGUUCAUGCUAUCUUAGAUCUUAUUUUUCAUCAAACGAGCUUAUUACCUGGCACUCAUCCCAUUGCAUGCUUAGUUCUGCAGUCACUUUGACUAAGCUUAACCCUUCAUCACAAUGUUAGUGGUUUCUUUCCCAUACCACUCGCUCUAAUUCAGCGAUCCCAUGGCACUACGGAUUCUGCUCUAAUCUUGAAUGUCCUUGUGCUAUUCUGUUGCCUAGAUAAUUAUCUAUGUUAUUUGCUUAUGUACAGUUCUAUACGCUUCCCAUGCUUAGUAUCUUUAUCCCUCCCAUAAUAUGUUAGGUACCAAACUUUGUAGGUUGAUUUAGACAAAGAUUUCCAAGCUGAUUAUGUGAGAACUUUGUAGGUUGAUUUAGACAAAGAUUUCCAAGCUGAUUAUGUGAGGGAUGGAAUCAUAAAUAAGAUUAUUUUAUUUAAGAAAAUUAUAUAAGAAUUUGAUAGUUCAGCGCUUCCAUACCCGCGUGAGCCUUGCUAGACCUAUGCAUGACAUAUCCACAUCAUUAUUUUUUUGCCCUGGUUGGGUGAUGUGUCUGCCAUCGUGAAAGUUAUCUUAUGCCCUUAUUUUCCUGUAAAGUGAAUGUGCAAAAUCAUGUUAGUCUCUAGGUAUCUCUGUAAAUGAUGAAACCGGUCAUAUAACAUGAAUGCCAACAAUCUAUACCCCUUCGAUGUGGUCUGCAGAAAAUACCAAGUUAUGCAAUCGCCAUAGGUGUUGAUGUUUAUUGGAAUUCACAUUUCAUCCACCUCUACCAAUGGAAAUGGUGUGAUAGAAGUACAUCUGGUUGUUAUUAUCUCAUGCCUAAUUUCUGCUAAUUUGAAACAGGCCUAGAUGACAUGCUUAAAUGAUAUAGUGUUGAUUUGUGCAUAUCUAUUCAUGGUAUAUUUUUCUAUACCGUUAUCUUUUCAUGGAUUAUGCAUGACAGAUCUUUAGAUGACAUUUAUGUUUAGGAGUCAAGCUGUAGGAUCUCGAUGCCGGGGACCUAGCAGCGUCCAUCUGCGAGCUGCAGGGCGUCGAGCUGCUCCGCCUCAAAAGGACCAAGACCAACAUUGGCUCUUCAGAUACGAUCUCGAAGCCGUCGCUGGACAGGCCCGUGUUUCUGUCAGUGUAGUUGUUUGUCAGAAUUCUUCUGCAGACUUUUAAAGAGGAGGGAAUUGCAACUAUGUCCUACAGUAACAAGGUAACUAAUUUGCGUUGCUCGUGUCUGAAAAAAUAUAGUAAUUAGAAACUAGGCUACGGGAGGAAUAUGAAUAUGAGACAGUGUCCCUGAUCUCCCAUAUUGUACAUCCGCACACUGUGCUCAACAUAUGGGUGCCAAAGAGUUUAUUUACCUUGUGCCAUUUAGCCUAUGAUCGCUGCUUUCUGUAGAAAAGUGUGCAUAUGUUUUGAUUAAUGGUGCUUUAUUUUGUCUAGGAUGAAAUGAUAGUUGCGCAGGGAAAUCUUUUCUCUUAUCUUUGGGGAUAAACCAAUGAUCUUGGUUAUAUGAUCGAGUUCAAUCCCCCGAGGAAAAAUAACUUGCAUGUUUCUUUCCAAUGGCAAUAAAAUUUCAUUUUCCAUGUGUUUGUAAGUUAAUGCAUGGCUUUCUUCUACAUCUUAUUUAAAGUUGGUCUGAUUAGCAAAACCCUGCCACGAGGCAACACUAGCCAAUGGUGCUUCCGAGUAAAACUUACUGAAAGUUCAUGCAUGCAUCAUAGAAGAAAAAGAGGCUAAAAGCUUGUGAAGUUUAUGCAAUUUUGAAGAAAGGAUUAUUCUCUAGGGCUAUUCGUGGUGAUGAUUUGCUCUGUAACCUAUAAGCGUUCUUAUUUAAGAUGAAGUUGCUAUUGAGUGAGUGGUUUCCUUGCUCUACUGCAUAUGCUGAGUGACAACAAGUAUGGUUCACAACAUCUCAAUGGCUGCCUAUGCUCUGUCAUGUUUAGUUUCUGUAUUCGACGGCAACCAAUUUAUGAUCUCAAGAUUUUUACUACAAUCUAUGCAAAAAGCUUCCCAGUUUCAGUAUUCUCUCGUCUUUCUGAACAUUCAACUGACUUCUAAUUUUUGUUUUGGUGGUAUAAUGUGUUAAUUGUGCUCCAGGCUUAAGGCCUAUUUCACUUAGGUAUAGACAAUAUAGUACUACGGCUACUUAGGGUUUGGUUAUCUUCAUAUGUGGCGCAUAAUUGCCAUUGUUGCUAAGAUCUCAAAGUAUAACAUAAGGUAUUCAUUAGAAUCUUUCCUUCAGCAUGGCUCUGGCAAAGGCAGUAUGAUGUGCCCUCCCUCACGUUAUACAGUAGUACUGGAACAUAUAGUCUUAAUGAUCCAAUAGAGUAUCCACUACGCUUUUUUCCUUAAAAAAAGAAGAGAUAACCCAAUAAUCCAAUCAAAGUGUUCAUGAUAAACCAUUAUUUGUUAUUUGAAAGCUUAAAUUGCUUUUAUGUUUGAAAGCUCUGUUAUGUUUUUGAGCCCUAUGUGUCUUUAUGUAUGAGAUGUGUGAUGUACACAUUGGACAUCCAGUAUGUUGUUAUAGUUGCAGUUAAUUUCGUUAUCCACAAAGUAGUGGCACUAUUGAGUAUCCGCGCUUAUUUUCUUAGUCUCAAGUUUGCUGAUUAUUUAUCAUAUUCACUUUUCUAUUACAAUAUUGUUCAACUAUUAGCAUUUAGUAGAUCCAGUCCAUGAUUUUUAUGGAACUAACAAGUAGCAAAGCGUAGACUCUGCAAGCUUUGGUGCUCUGCUUUACUUGGAAAAGGCAUACACCACCUUUGUGGGGAGGCAGGCCUAUCUAAACGCAGAGAAUCAUCAUAAGCACAUUAGUUUGAGUCCCAAUGAUACUCAAUUGCUAUCCCCCAGUCUUGGUUGGUGUGUCCUCUCCAAGGUAAACCAUACACAUGCUUGCUUCUACGAAACACUAUCUUUUCUGAAAGAAUUAAAUAUAAAUGUUGAUGCAUCUACACAUAUAUAUAUAACGAUAACUCACAAAAUGUAUUGGUUUAGUAUAUUUCUCAGCCUUCAAUUGAUAAUGUGAAUUGUUUCAGAGUUACAUAGCACACCUCAACAAAUCCGAAAAUUCAUAAUUAGACUCCAUUUUGCUAAAACAUUUACAUGGUUAGUAAGGCUUUCGUUACAAUUUAUGUCUCUCUUGCCACAUAGAUUCGAAAGUAGAUUUAUCUCUGUUGAUAAUCAUGCUUGCUUUUCUGAAAGUAACUCUCAUGAAGUGAUUCUUGAUGUUGUAGUACAUGCUGGUUCUCUGCACAUUUAACUGCAGCGUGGUUAGGUUUGGGUCCGGAAGAUUGCAUGAUAGAACUGCAGGGUGGUUAGGGUCGGGUCUGGAAGAAAUUUUACACCUUAUCCUUCAGGAUUUUAAUGCUACAUUUAUUUGAUUAAUACAAUCCUUUAUCCCGAAGAAAAACUUUUGUGUGACUCAUACUAAUUAGUUUUGUUGUGGCUCCAAAUUCGCAGGAAUAAGCCAUUAGCUUCUGAGGUUCAUCAGUCUAGAGCCUAAAGGUCAACCUCUGCCUAUGUCAGGUACAGUAUUGUGCAAGAGGCUGAAUAUUUUAUGCAAGAUGUGUGAGGACAACAAGAUUUAUGUUACUGUUGAUUUCAACACCUUUAUACUGCCCUUUGAAGGUUCAAGUGCCCUGUUAAUUAUACCAGUGGAAUAUUCUAUGGAUGAUUACUUAUAGUAUACAUACCCUUGAAGAAUAGAAUGCUUUCGCCAUGAAGGUGACUGAAAAGUGCGAUAUCUACAGUUUCGUGGGUGUUUUGUUGGAACUAAUGUGCAAUUCAGGUUCUUGAGAAAGGACAUCUUGUCAAUUUUUGUGAGGCAGACAAUGAAUAGCAUGCCACCAAAUUCGGAAGUUUUCUACAACAGCCUCUAUCUGAACUCAAAGAGGGUUGCGGAAGAAAUCACUCUGGUACUGAAGAUUGCAUUAUUCUGCACCAGUGAAUCACCAUUAGAUAGGCCUAGCAUGGCGAGAAGUGAUAUCCAUGUUGAUCAUUGCUCGGGCCUCCUCUUGUGAUUUAUUCUCAUCUCCAGCAUCGGAGCCACCUACCGAACAUUAUUCGCCCUUUUCAGAUUAAGAGGUGAGGUGAAGUGAUCUUAUGGUUACGUUAAGGAGCUCAACAAGCAAUCCAGGCAAACAUCUUCAAGAUAAGGAGUAUUCACUGAUUAAGUUCAUAGCUGAAGACCAUUUAGUGUAUGCCCUGAGCUUGUGGAAGCUGUCUCUUUACGUGGCCUACCAAUGGAAAAGGACAUCUAUCUUUCUGAGUUCUGAGCAAGAUAAAGUCCCCAAGCGGGUGGGAAUUUUCUGGAUUUAACCACUGGUUGAAGCAUAUGAGGUUGUAUAUUCUUAGUUCAACUACAGCUCUUUUAGUGGAGGCAGAUAAUUCAAGGUGUUCGUUUCAUGGUAGACAGGUGAAGCAUUUGAGGUGAACCUGUCUACCUCUGAAAAUUAAACAGAUCCACUGGCCUAAGGAUGAUACAGUAGGAGUAGCAGUUUAGCACUACAUUGCACAGAUUGCCAUCGACUCACUUGGCAUCUGGUACAUGUUACUACUAAGCUACUGAGAUCACCAUCAAAAUCACAACUGGACAAGAUUCUGAACUAACUGAAGAUAGCUCACUUUCCCUUUUAUGGUACAUGCUUCGGAAUACUAAUGAUAGUUGUAAUCUGGAGCAUAAAAGGAACAACUUCUUCUUUUUUGAAUGGUAUAUAUUCUCUGUAUAUAAUUGACAUGGAGAAUCUCACUACUUAGGCACAUAUUGUACUUUCA